UUUCACCAGGUUCAUAUAUCAAUAUGUUGUGUUGAUUUGUUAUGCAUGCCUGCAUCCUGGGAGAAGGGGAGUGUGUACUUACGUUUUGCCCGGCGUGCUCGUGCUCAAAUCAUUUUGAUGCACUGAGAGAGCUGGCCUUCCUCUCUCCUCGGCUGCUAAGUGUGUGACUGUGAGUGAGUUUUCUCGGCCCUCCCUCACGCAUCUUUGGUUCAUUGGUUGGCACUGCGUGUCUGAUUGACAGGAACAACAGGGAACAGAAAGUAGGCUACUAUGCUUGAGAGCCUCCUGGACAAUGGACUCUUUCUGGGAGCUAUUGUCCAACUCCUCUGCAUCUUGGCUGUCAUAAUUACCCACCUCCAACUGGUAUGAACAGGCUCGAAUUGCUGGCACAUAGAGCCUGGUAACACUGUGCCACAAAGUGGGACUUGAAAGGGGUUUGCCUAAACAGCAGACUGCUACCAUGGUUACCCCAUGGCUAUUCAGUCUGAAAGAAGUCUGACUAAAAAAGACAAGAGUCUCUACAAGCCAGAAUGUUGAAUAAAAUGAUUUUCAC